rnacentral:tRNA from 1 species
AAGUUUUAAGUUAAAUUUAAACUAUUAGCCUUCAAAGUUGAAAAUAAUAAUUUUAAACUUU